AGUGAACGCUGGCGGUAGGCCUAACACAUGCAAGUCGAACGGCAGCACAGUAAGAGCUUGCUCUUACGGGUGGCGAGUGGCGGACGGGUGAGGAAUACAUCGGAAUCUACUUUUUCGUGGGGGAUAACGUAGGGAAACUUACGCUAAUACCUCAUACGACCUACGGGUGAAAGCAGGGGAUCUUCGGACCUUGCGCGAUUCAAUGAGCCGAUGUCGGAUUAGCUAGUUGGCGGGGUAAAGGCCCACCAAGGCGACGAUCCGUAGCUGGUCUGAGAGGAUGAUCAGCCACACUGGAACUGAGACACGGUCCAGACUCCUACGGGAGGCAGCAGUGGGGAAUAUUGGACAAUGGGCGCAAGCCUGAUCCAACCAUACCGCGUGGGUGAAGAAGGCCUUCGGGUUGUAAAGCCCUUUUGUUGGGAAAGAAAAGCAGCAGGUUAAUACCCCGCUGUUCUGACGGUACCAAAAGAAUAAGCACCGGCUAACUUCGUG
rnacentral:rRNA from 1 species